rnacentral:lncRNA from 1 species
CGCGAGGCCGCUAAAGAUGGCGGAGGCAGGGGCGGCUGAGGGGUGCCUCGGCUUGGUUUAAUAACGGAUUUCACACAGUGAAAAAAAAAAAGCAUAGACUGGGUUUUCAGUUCAAAUACCUCUCGCAAGGGAGGGAAACAAAAGAUCAGGCAUCAUUGCUUCAUGUAAAAGGGCUGCUGUUGUAAUACGUCCAACAUUUGUACACGUCUUAGAAAACACUUCUUACAAAACUAAUCUUCAGUUGAAGAUCCCUCUUCUUGUAUCUGCUUUGGGUUUCUUGGUCUGGGGCACAGGGAGAACAGGGGCUGCUGAGGCUCCAAACCACGCAGGCACCUUCCUCUUACCUGGGGGCUGGGAGCUCUUUGGCUGAGUGUCAGCAAACAGUUCUUCAUCAGGGCUGAGGGCUGGCUGGUUCCUGGAGGCCAACUGGAUGGGCUCCGUGCGGUCUGCUGCACCCCUGUUACCUGGCUGGGCAUCAUCUGUGCUCCACGUGGCCAAAGCUGAGGGCACCA